rnacentral:rRNA from 1 species
ACGCUCGACACCUACGGNGNGCAGCAGUGGGGAAUAUUGCACAAUGGGGGAAACCCUGAUGCAGCGACGCCGCGUGGAGGAAGAAGGUCUUCGGAUUGUAAACUCCUGUUGUUGGGGAAAAAGAGGAUGGUACCCAACAAGGAAGUGACGGCUAACUACGUGCCAGCAGCCGACGGUAAUCUGAGCGGGCUGGCAAGGC